UUCGGUCAAAUCACGCUGAAAACACCGGUUCUCGUUCGAUCACCGAAGUUAAGCAUCGUAGAGCCAGGUCAGUACUUAGAUGGGGGACCGCUUGGGAACACCUGGUACUGUAAG